rnacentral:rRNA from 1 species
UACGUAGGCAGCGAGCGUUGUUCGGAAUUACUGGGCGUAAAGAGUGUGUAGGCGGUGCUCUAAGUUCGGUGUGAAAUCUCCUGGCUCAACUGGGAGGGUGCGCCGGAAACUGGAGUGCUUGAGCGUGGGAGAGGAAAGCGGAAUUCCUGGUGUAGCGGUGAAAUGCGUAGAUAUCAGGAGGAACACCUGUGGUGUAGACGCUUUCUGGACCUAGCUGACGCUGAGACACGAAAGCGUGGGUAGCAAACAGG